AAAUUGAAGAGUUUGAUCAUGGCUCAGAUUGAACGCUGGCGGCAGGCCUAACACAUGCAAGUCGAGCGGUAGCACAGAGAGCUUGCUCUCGGGUGACGAGCGGCGGACGGGUGAGUAAUGUCUGGGAAACUGCCUGAUGGAGGGGGAUAACUACUGGAAACGGUAGCUAAUACCGCAUAACGUCGCAAGACCAAAGUGGGGGACCUUCGGGCCUCAUGCCAUCAGAUGUGCCCAGAUGGGAUUAGCUAGUAGGUGGGGUAACGGCUCACCUAGGCGACGAUCCCUAGCUGGUCUGAGAGGAUGACCAGCCACACUGGAACUGAGACACGGUCCAGACUCCUACGGGAGGCAGCAGUGGGGAAUAUUGCACAAUGGGCGCAAGCCUGAUGCAGCCAUGCCGCGUGUGUGAAGAAGGCCUUCGGGUUGUAAAGCACUUUCAGCGGGGAGGAAGGCGGUGAGGUUAAUAACCUCAUCGAUUGACGUUACCCGCAGAAGAAGCACCGGCUAACUCCGUGCCAGCAGCCGCGGUAAUACGGAGGGUGCAAGCGUUAAUCGGAAUUACUGGGCGUAAAGCGCACGCAGGCGGUCUGUCAAGUCGGAUGUGAAAUCCCCGGGCUUAACCUGGGAACUGCAUUCGAAACUGGCAGGCUAGAGUCUUGUAGAGGGGGGUAGAAUUCCAGGUGUAGCGGUGAAAUGCGUAGAGAUCUGGAGGAAUACCGGUGGCGAAGGCGGCCCCCUGGACAAAGACUGACGCUCAGGUGCGAAAGCGUGGGGAGCAAACAGGAUUAGAUACCCUGGUAGUCCACGCCGUAAACGAUGUCGAUUUGGAGGUUGUGCCCUUGAGGCGUGGCUUCCGGAGCUAACGCGUUAAAUCGACCGCCUGGGGAGUACGGCCGCAAGGUUAAAACUCAAAUGAAUUGACGGGGGCCCGCACAAGCGGUGGAGCAUGUGGUUUAAUUCGAUGCAACGCGAAGAACCUUACCUGGUCUUGACAUCCACAGAACUUUCCAGAGAUGGAUUGGUGCCUUCGGGAACUGUGAGACAGGUGCUGCAUGGCUGUCGUCAGCUCGUGUUGUGAAAUGUUGGGUUAAGUCCCGCAACGAGCGCAACCCUUAUCCUUUGUUGCCAGCGGUCCGGCCGGGAACUCAAAGGAGACUGCCAGUGAUAAACUGGAGGAAGGUGGGGAUGACGUCAAGUCAUCAUGGCCCUUACGACCAGGGCUACACACGUGCUACAAUGGCAUAUACAAAGAGAAGCGACCUCGCGAGAGCAAGCGGACCUCAUAAAGUAUGUCGUAGUCCGGAUUGGAGUCUGCAACUCGACUCCAUGAAGUCGGAAUCGCUAGUAAUCGUAGAUCAGAAUGCUACGGUGAAUACGUUCCCGGGCCUUGUACACACCGCCCGUCACACCAUGGGAGUGGGUUGCAAAAGAAGUAGGUAGCUUAACCUUCGGGAGGGCGCUUACCACUUUGUGAUUCAUGACUGGGGUGAAGUCGUAACAAGGUAACCGUAGGGGAACCUGCGGUUGGAUCACCUCCUUACC
rnacentral:rRNA from 1 species